GUCCCUGUCUCUGUCCCGGUGAGAGAACUCCACGGUCUGACCCAUCCUCUGUCCCGGCGGCCAGCUCCCCAAAUCUCCAAAACCUUCCCCCUCACUCCAGCACUGAUGGGCCAUUAGCAUGGAAUGCAGCCUGGCCAGCCAUUCCUUUCGUAAGGCUAAUUGAUUCCCUUCCCCCUUCCCUAUUCCAACUCUGUUUCUCUUACAGGGAAGCAGGGAAAGAAAAAUUUCUCUCUCAGAUUUAUAACCUAUAACACUAGAGAUGGCAUCUUGAGCAACAACUGUAACUCUUGUCUUCAUGGGACAAUGGAAGAAUGUGUCAGGGAGUGGUCCUUGGGUCCAGAAGUGCCAAGGCAGCUUAGAAAGGUUACUACAGACUGAAGAAAUAAUACUCACAGAAUGGCAAAGUAUUAAAGCAUCUGCCAGUUUUGAAGCACAUUCUUUGGGUUUAGAUUAUUUAGCAGUGAAUGUGAAAGUCCUGCACAGAGAACAACUCUUCUCUUGCUUGCACUAGUGAACAAUUAUACUGAUGUUAAUAAUUACUUCAGAUGUAUCCUGUGUGACUUGGAACAAAACCUUGCUAGGACUUUAGAUAUGUGUUUUAGACAAUAUUCCAGUAUGCUUUGCUGUAAACAAGACUGAAAAUUUUCAGUUGUUGUACUGAAUUACUGAAAUGAACUGGGAUUUGCUCAACCAAUUUGAAAUGUAAUCAGAGAUCAGCCUCCCUGGGCUGUCCUUGACAUUUUGUGGUGGACUAACCACAGCUUCCUGCAACAGGUCACAUUAGUACUAAACCCACAAGCAGCUUUCAAGCCAGAGAGCUGGAUAGGUACAGCUCCUGACAGUACACUCACUUCUUUUGGCACUCAGGUACAAUAAGGAUAUUGUUCCUUUAAUGCUUAGCUUUCCUUUUAAGAAGUAUGUGAGAUUUCAGCCAAUGCUCCGCAACCAACGAUUAGUUCAGGAUGAAUGUACUUAACUCAGAAUUUAGCUGGAAAGGGCCCAAGUAGAUGCAAUCAAUUUUCUACUAAAUCCACUUCCUUCCUCUCUUCUCUACCCGGCAUGAGACAUCAGCUCACCACUCCAGCCAGUGGUGACUGAGACAGUGCAAACCUCUGCCUUCAGCCAUGCUCUUAUCAAACCUGGUUAUUUCUUUCCAUUUCCCCUGGUUUUUGGGUUUGGCACAUCCUGUUCACUAGCCCAGUGUUUGGGCUUGGGGGAAAAGGCUCUAGAAGCAAAUAUGAAAAAGCAGCUAUCUAGCAAACCACAAACCCCAAAGGUACUGACUGCUGUGACCCCCAAAGUUAAUCACUCAGAACUGCACAGGAUCAGCUGCAGAGCUCCACUGAUAAAGGACAAUUUCCCCCUCUGCACGACUCUCAGAGGAGCCUCCCCCAGCUUUCAAUGUGCAGGCACUGUGUGGAUGUGCCAGCUCGGUGUGUGACACCUCUAUGUGCUGACACCAAAUUAUCUCCACCAGCAUCAGCUGAACACCACAAGACUUGUGGGAGAGCAGCACCAGCCCCUCUCCCUGAACCAGCCUCAUGGCCUGGAAUAGCACAGUCAUAACAACAGGGAUGAUUUACUACUUGAAUUUAACCAGGGCAACAAAAAAAUAACAUCUGUUCAAAAACAAGGCUUAGAAAACAUGAUCUCUGGCUCUCACCUACAUGCUUUCUUAAGAAUUUAAGUAGAUGAUUUCCAACCUCAUUUUCCCAAGUGUAUACAUUCUCCUUUGUUAAAUAACUCGUGCAAUCAGCAGAACAAGUCCUGGUGGCUCUGUAUUCUUUAGGCUUUCUUCCUCUAGAAUGGUGGUGUCCAAAUGUUUUUGAUGAUGCUCCCCUACCAAUAAAUAAUGUUUGCACAUGCACCCUCAGGAUGUGUAUAUUUAUAAAUUAUAUACAUCUACUAGGGAAGUAUUUUCUUCCUGCACCCUAAAGGACCAUCUUGAACACUCUGUGGGGUGUGUGGACCCCACUUUGGAGACUGCUGCUCUAGAGACCACUGGACUGUUAAUACAAAUUCAGCAAAUUGUUUCCAUGGGUCUGAAUUUACACUGCCAUGGUUCCUACAGUUGGUAAUCCACUGACUCACUCAGUGCAGUUAUUUGCUCUAUUUCCAGGAAAAGUUUUGCAGGGAACACAAUUGGAAGAGUGAGAGUGCAGAGCACCCAGGCAGCCAGGGGAGUGAUGUGUACUGAGCUUCUGUCACUGUAUCUCAUUUAAUGUCAAGACACAGCACAUUUGUGUUUUACAACACAUUGACAGACAACCAUUGAGACAUAACAGUCAGGGAUCAAGAAUGAUUCCUAAAUGCAUUCCUGCUUUUAAAUAUGCACUUAAUUUAGAUGCCUUUCACUCAGUACAGGCACAGUUAAAAGAGCUGCAGGUAUGAGUGGCUGUGUGCUGGCACAGAGUCCCUGCACAGCCGAGUCAGCCCUGCUGAACCCACCAGCCACUGCUGCUGCUUCUUACAAACAUACUUUAGAAGGGUCUCUCCUCCAAUUCUCUGCCUUUUUCUUGCCUAGCUCACCAUUCACUUUUGUUGCUACUACUCCAAACACAGUGCAAGUUCACAGGAGUUUGGCAAACAAAGAGUUAAGGCUGGAAGGUUUUAGGCAAGAAACUCAGCUUGGGGGCUGGGGGAGAGGAGGAGAAAGCAGGAAGCCUAAGGGGGCAUCCAGAGCAGGGAGCACUGCUGGAAGGCCCUUCCCCAGCCCCGUAGGCUGCCUGCCUGCCCCAGGCUGGGCUGCAGGAGCUGGACAGCGGGAGCAGGCAGGGGAUGAUGCACUGCCAGGGACUGACCAGCUGGGUCACAGGGGAGGAGCAGGACCAGCAGAUAUGGAGGUGAGGAUAAGGUUGUGUGUGGGGCUGUGAACAGGAAGGAAUACAGGGGUUUGUGCAUCUCUAGAGGGAGUCUGUGAAGACAAAAAGCAGCAGGACAGUGCACAGAGCAGCGAGGGACCCCCUGGCUGAGCACCCAGCACUGCUGUGCCACCUGCACUCCAUGGGAUGAGUGGGCAGAGGGAAGGGAGGGUCUCAGUGGGACUUAAACCUGGUUCUCUAAGCCUGCCCCAAACACCACAAGGCAGCAACUGCUCAUGGGGGACUUUGGGGAUGACUUUGCAAGGCCCCAGUGAGCUCACAAACAACCGAGUUUACUGUGGGGUUUAAACCCCAUCUCAGAGGCCACGACUGUCACCAGCUGCCCCUGCCCCCUCCUGCCCCAGGCUCUCCUCAAACAGCACAAGGUGACCAGAGCAUUUGCUAAACCACUGGGCAGAAGAUGCUUUGAGGAUAUAAACACUUCCUGCCUCCAGCAGGCUCCCAGGCUACCACACCUCUCUAGUCACGUCACACACAAACAAAAACUUAAACACACUAAGCCAAACCUUCACCUGUCACACAGCUGUGUGGGACACGGCUCCAAGACCCAAAUGCCCUUUGCCAUUCCAGCUUGCAGGGCAGUCGUUUAUCACUCAGAACAGCAAUGUUGGGGGUAAAAUGCUGAAGCCCCUGAGCACCCACUGCCCCAAAAGAUGGUAGGGGGUUAUUCUGGCCCAGGACCACACGACACAAACCUGUUCACAAGCACUAAAUGUCCAUGAGAAGAGGAACAAGAGGACCAAGUGUCCAACAAAUGCUCAACACCAUUCCCAAAGGAACCCCUCCUCACAUGCCUUGAGCCUGCUGGGAUGUUUGGGAGAGGCAAGGAACACAGAACUAUACCUAUGUUAUCACACUCCUGCCUCCUCCACCACUUGAAGAAGGGAAUUCUCAUUAAUUUGGAUGUUGAGCCAGGGGAGCUGAUGAGCAAGGCAAGGAGACAGGCCAUGUGAACCAGCCUCAGCCUGCUGUCCCCCCACCAGCCCAACACCAUUUCCAGUCACACCCCAACACCACAGUGUGUCUGUCACAGGAUCUCUGCUGGCUGCCCACCUGUGCCCCAUCCGAUACCUGGGAACUGCUCCACGGAGCCAACAACCCCAGAAAUGGAGCAGCAGUGACACAGCUGGGCUGGGCCCCGGCCACCACAGAGGCACAGCAGGGGGCUGCUGCUUCAGGUUUGUCUUUAGAAAGCAUUUACUGUACCUAACUCAAGACUGUGGGAUCCAGUUUACAACCCUGAAGAUUUUUGUGUCGGUUCAAUGCAGGGCAUCCACGUACAGGUUUCACACUGGUAAAAUACUAAGAAUUUCACAGUAAAACCAUAAAAUAAUUCCCUAAAUUUUCUGGCAUGGUGUUCAUAAUCAAAGCAAUAUUGCAAAACUACCUGCUUUUUAUAUAGCCACAGGGAAGUGGCUCACCUGGGGCAAACCACAGCAGUGAUGUCAGUGUGAAGGUCCUGCUGCCCAGCUAAAAGCUCACACUGCUCUCCACAAAGUCAGGAGUACUUCAGCACUAACUGAAACUGGAUUUGGCCAUGAGAGAUGAUAAAUCUGAAAAGUCCCAGCAGAAGCUCUGGUCAAAGGCAGGAUUUUCAGGAAAUGAGAUAUUUAUUGGAAGAGGGGGGAAAAAAAAGCUUUCUGGCCAAGAUCAAAUUUACUGAGUUUCUUCCUGUGCUGUGUUUUAAGGAACAGAGAAGAGUGGGUGGGAACAAGAGCUCUUCGUUACCUGAGUUAAAACCAAACUAAAAUUUCCUGAGAAGUCCAAGGGUAGGAGAAAACAUCCACUGCUGGUAAAUAACUCUGACCUGCAGAAGUCAACUUACCAGGACCAAGCUGGUCAUUCUAUACCAGUAAGUUUAUAAGCAGGCAAAGCAUUCAGGUCAUGUAAAUACCAGGGGUCACCAAAGCACUUUCCUUGGUGCCCAAGGCCAGCCCACUGCAGCUGCAGUCAGCCAAUCCUCCCGAGCCCCCUCACUUCAAGCAGGAAAAAUGCCUGGUUGUUUAUGUAGGAUUCCUGCCAAGCCUGGUUCUCUGAUAAGCUUCUCUGGUGCAUUUGUGUCUCACAUCCGACUCAGAGUCCUCAGAAUACUGGAGACAGCAUUCCUUGGAUACUGAAAAUAAAUUAAAAACACAACACUGGGCUUGGACAGAGGAAUGGGAACGUUAUUGACGUGGCCCAGGCACUCAGGGCUCUGGGGAGCAGUGCUGGGAAAGCAGUCUUUUUAAAAUGUUACAUUAGUCCAUGUAUUUAAUGACAUAUAAUCCUAAAAAUGGUCCCCCAUAAACUGUAAAUACGCAUUAUUUGAGUAAGUAAUUAGUUUCAGUAGCAUGCUGCAGCAGCUGUAUGGCUGGGCUGCCAGACACUGCAAGUGUUUCCUCCAGCAAAUGCCUCUAUUUGUGAUAUUACAAUAAUUACUUACUGAUUUAUAGAACUUCUCACUUCCCCAGUUCUUUGACCUCAGGAUCUCCACAUAAUUUCAAAGUAUUAAUGAAAGCAGCAUGGUGUCACCCAUGUGAGGGAGGUGACAAGAAUUAUGUCCACAUGGGCCAAGGCAGACAGGCUGAGUGAUCUGCCCAAGGGGACAAGGAACCCUGUGGCAAGUGGACUAAAACCCCAUCCUCUGACUCACAGGGCUGAUCUACCCCUUGGUGGCCACCAACCCAUCAGUCCUCUAAGAAUUUGUUCUCUUUGCCAAUUUGGUCCUUUGCCAAUACCCUCUGCCAGGAGGAAGCCUGAGAGACAGAAUGCUGAAGUUUGCUGCCACUGUGUAUCUUAUAAGUGUGAAGACAAACUUUAGCAAAAAAAAAAAAUUGAAUCUUUUAUUUUGUUUUGCACGUGGCAGGAUUGUUAUGGGAAACAGCUUUUCUAGACCCACAAGAGGUAAAAGCAUCCUUAAUAAGGUGAAGAGUAGCAGUGAAAACCUUGAUCUGUAAAAUGAAUUUGUAAGGUAAAUCCCAGGCUGCUUUCUGAUGUGGAACUUCAGUGUGUUUUCAGGCCACACAGACAUGUUUCCCUCGAAAUAAGCAGUAAACAAGAAUUACUGUUAAGGCUGAGUUUGUAACCCAGCCUGGACGUGCACCAGGUGCAAAGAGAGUCCUGUCAGAGAGCACAGGAGGAUGAAGAUAACAGAAGCAACAAAACCAGAUUUCCUCUUCACACCUUGUCCUUUGCCAAGAGCUCCUGACCUUGUUAGGCAGGACUUGCAGAGCUGGACUGAGAGGUGCUGUGUGGCCUGGCAGGAGAGGAGAGAUCCUGUCACUGCACUGGCACCAGGGAAGGGACACAACAAGACCGAGACUGGAGACAGAAAACAGGUAACAGGAAUAAGAACAGAAAACCAUCUGGAAGUAUGGAAAAGAGCUUUGCUGGUGAGAAAGGACAGACUGAAGUUGCCAUGGCUGCAAAGUGGUAUAAUCUCACCUCCUUGAUAUGGGGAUGAUGAACUGCCAACAGUUUGGAGUCCUUAGACCCUGGGAACUCAGGGAUCCAUGAAAAGCCUAAGAUAUGCAAAACAAAUCAAAAUGGGAAAGUACCAGGGUAAAAUAAGAUUUCAAACAGUGCCAAAGGCAAGAAGACAAGCUCCCUAUUUUCUGGAGAAAAAGGUACUGACAUGCAGAUAAGAUCUUGACUAAAGAAAUCCAUUGUGCUUGCUGGAGAUUAAAAACAAAAGAUGCCCACACAGAAAUAACAGUAAGUCUGAAUUCUUCAGUAUCAGAGCAGGCACAGGCCAGAGCAAAUGCAGGCAGAAAGAAGGGAAAAGAGAACCCCUGGGAGAUGGAAAUCUUCACAGAGGAUGCAUCAAAAACUGAAGUUCAAUCCUUCCAACACACCAGGGAAACCAUCAGGUAGUGGUGGCCCACAGAGCACACCCUGGGUCUGUCCAGGGUGAGGUCACCCAAGGGCAGGACAAGGGAAAGGUGGAGGUUCCCCCAAAUGACAGCAGAGUAUCCAGGUGAUCCGUGGCCAUAGGGCAGGCUAAACACAUGGGAGCCUGAACAUGUUUGUGUACAGGGACAGGUUUGUGGCUGUCACAAAAUUUACUGAGACAGGCCCCGGGAAAGAAAUGAUCAGUUGGUUGUGGGUGAAAAAACAGAUUCACUGAGUGCUGAAGGACAACACUGAUUAUCUGGCAAGUGUGGAGAUAGAAUAGAUUUAUUCUUGAAGAAGUGAUGAUGACCUAUAUUAAAAAGAAAUUAUUUUGGAGUUUGCAGGUUUAGUUUUUCAGAUGAGUAAAGAUCAAGGACAUCACUAAAGCAUAGAUUAGGCACUUUGCAAAAUACACAGGGACAACAUAGAGCAGAAACUUAGGUCAUUAAAAUUACCGGAAGCCAACCCUGUGCUUCUCCUUUCACUCACUCUCUUCUUCACUUUUCCCUUCCACCUGUUUUCCCCCUUUGUUUUUAGGUAACACUUAAAAAUUACAGAACCUGGAAAUGGGAAACAGAAACAUCUGUUGGUAAUGCCAGUGACUUGCCUGUGCUCUGUUCUGGAUUAUCUGGAUUUCUUCCCCUUUGAGAGAUGAACUCAACAGAAGCCCAGGGGAGUUUAUUCUUUUGGAGAAAAUGAGGUGUGUUCCAAAAAACAUUUUAAAUGGGCAGAGGGGAAGGCAAGAAAAGAAGGAAAAAAAAGAGCUAAAGGAAAGACUGAACACCCAAGAGAUGUGGGUUCCAGAUAAGACAAUUGAGACCUGCAGAUAAUAAACACUGACAAGGAAAUUUUAGCAAAUCUUGUUACAGGAGGAAAGAGGUGACAUUUCAAACCCACAAAACUGUGCAAGUUCUCUCUCUCUGUUUUUAUUUACAGAAAUAAAAAACAGAGGCAGAAACCUUGUUAAUUAGAGCAUGGUUUUUGUACUUUAUGUGUUUUCCAAGCCCUGAAAGGAUCACAGGUGCCGUCAGUGAUUGGUUUCACAUUAUGAAUACAGAAAUAUUGUGGAAGGAAAACAUCCAUGGUCAGUCCAUCAACACAGAGAAAAGUUUCCGUCAUUAGUUGCCAGGCAACCCCACCAAUUAAAAUAACCAUCAAAUGCCACACAUUUCAUGCUGGAAUCAUUAAUAGCAGAAUGCAAUUACAACCUUUCAAGGAAACAAGGAGACAGAGACAAACCACCAGGCAAGUACUGAUCACAUGCCCUCUGAUCAUCAGGAACAGGGAGUGGAAAUGUUUCACAGUUCCCUUUGGUCAGCUCCCCAUCACCAUCACCCUUCCCUGGGCAUCAGCCUCCAGCUACCACAGCCACAGCAGCCCUCAGAGACGUGGAGAGUGACACUCUAUGCUAUACACCCCCCCCCCAACCAAGACAGCUUUAAACACAUGCAUCUUCAAGUAUCUGAGAUGUCCCUGUGGAAGUAAGGCCAAUCUGAUGAGCCACCCCCAAAAAAACAGGUUCUCUCCUAGAGCUGAACUAACUUAAUUUAAAGUAGUCACAGAAUUGAAAACAUCUCCUGACACAACACCUCCUCCAGCAGUAGAGUCUGUAGAAGGGCCACAGCACUGGUCUAUCUAAAGCCCAGCACAUAGAGCAGUGCCCUGCUGGGCCAGAGCUACCUGGGAUAACAGAUAGCAAUGCAGAGAAACUACAAAGUGCCUCCCAAAAUAUAAAACCCAAUUAAAUAAAUUCUAAAUAAAGGAGAUGGUCAGAGUAUGGUGCUAACAACACCAAGGUUGUGGGUGUGAUCCCUGUAUGGGCCAUUCUCUCAAGAGCUGGACCCAAUGACUGCGGGUCCCUUCCAGCUCAAACUGUGAUCCCAUCUCAAACACUUCUGAUGACCCUUUUCCCAUCCCAUUGUUUUUGUUCUUCUAAAGCCUGGGGUAUUAUCAGACUAACCAGGGAUCAAGAUAAAGAAAACACUCUUCUACCAAUCAGUACCCAAAGGUACUGGGGUUCUUACAUGGGCUGGUGUCCAACUUUGACUUUUAAUCACUGGAAGAUUACAUUCCUUUGUUGAGACUCAUUCAUGGUUCAGUGUUGCACAAGGUGAGCCUGGACCAUCUGAAGGCAGCUGUCAUCUCUGCCAUCCACGGCCUCUUCCUGCAGCCAGCACCUCCCUUCCCUGAGUGCUGCACUGGGGGGUGCCUGGGACUGCAGUUGCAGACAUACUUGGAAUAGCUUCGAACUAUCUGCCUUGAUAGGUGUUAAAAUGGGAAGCGUGGGGCUGAGCACAGGCUGUGCCUUAUCCCAGAGCAGCAGGAUGAGUCAGGCAGAGCUCUGCCCUCCUGCAGCACUGGGUGUUAUCUCACUGACACGUCUACACCAACCGCAGCUUCCGCGGCACAGGCACCAAAUCCUCUGCUCCCUGCUCGUAACCAACCUCCCACUUCUCCACACUCCUUGGCUUUUCCCGUGAAUCACCCCUCCAAGGAUCUGCCCCACAUGCACCAGGACCUGCUGCCAGCUCCAGUUAGGGCUUGGAAAGCACCAAAUGUUCAGGUGGCCAUGGAACCAACCCAGACACUGGGCUGAGAUGUGGAUGAGCAACAACGGGAGUUAUGCAAGUCCAGGGCACCCAGCUCUCACACCAUGGGGGCCACGGAGGAGUGUUCCAACAUGCACAGCACUGAAUCACUGUCAGCCUGUCUUCCCUGAGCACCAGGUAUUAGCCAAUGGCUCUGGCAGGAUCACAGAGCAAAAAUCCCACAACUUCGGUCUGCUCCAACAGACUGUGGUUAGAGAAUGGCAGUGAGAAGUGUGCAGGGACAGUGGCUACCCAGCAGACCUUCACUGCAUGGCGGUGUACCACUCACAGCAAUGCUCAUCAGCUCCUCACCCUGAAGUGCUCUAGCAGUGUAUCCUUGAUGCCCAGAAGAGUUGCAUAAAGCAGCUGUAGAAAGAUGAACAGGUACAGAACCUUCAGCUGAGUCACUGCCAAGUGAGCCACGAGGUUAAAAGCCCCUGACACAAACACACAUUUGUACCAUUGCGAUUAUCAACUCCGAAUUUUGACACUGAAUUUUGUUUUAUGUGAAAAUCACAUUCACAGGCAAUUUAAGGCUACAAAGCAAGUACUAGCAGUGUACAAUUUGGAUGCAGCAACUCAUGCCAAACUUAGAAAUAUACUGUGGGGACACAACAAACAUGAAUUGAAAAUAAAUCUUCCACUGGGAAUUUGGGUAUUUUAAAAACUCACCAACUGCUGAUUAAUAUACACUGAAGGGACACAGCCCCCUUAAGAUGUUCUAUGUCUUACUACCACCAAGAGCAAGCAAAGGUUUGACUUGAGGCAGCAAAUACGCAAAAGGCCAUUUCCAGUGCCAAGAGGAACUUCUCCCAACAAGCUGGGACACGAGCAGCCUCCUAUUAAUAGACAUGGACAUACAGUAGCACCGAGACUUCAGACAGAAGGGAGCUGUUGUCUCAAGGGGAACAGGCAGGUUGUGUCCAUGAACCAAUUCCCCUUUCACAUCAGCUGGAGGGCAGGGGCUCAUUCAGAGGUGCCCUUUACCCAGGUAACAGUAAUACUGACACAGGUGUCCCAGCUGGGCUGUCCCUCGCCGGGAUCCUCCUCCCAGAGGCUGGUGUGAGUUUGAGAGGGCUGGACAAAGGCUGGGGCAGCAGCAGUGCCUGUCACCAGCUGAGCUGUGACACCUCCCUGAGCUGCUCCUUAGAUCUGAACUGCUGCAUGAACCUCCCUGAGCGCUCUGGUCGAUCAGCAGCUACCAGGUAAGGAAUGAGCUGCACACCCUCGGGAUACACAGUCUGCUUUCAGCCUCUGAUUGACCGUGCUCUGACUUCCUGUGCCUCCAACCCAGCAGCAAAAGUGCAAAUCAAAGACGAAUGGCCCGUUCAAACGUUUGCCUUCGUGCAGGAGAGCGGGACACGUCCCUGAUUUCUGUGGUGAAAUACAUCUCAGCUUUGAGAGCAGGGACUUCAAACCCUCAGCUCAACAAAGCUCAUUCCCUGACCAUCUCCUGCACCCUGUCACUGGUGAACUUUGCUUUUUUUGAGGAGAUCCUGUACAACUCUGAAUCAACAUUACUGAGGUUUUUUCCCCAAAGUUGCCAGAAUGUAGGAAGACAAUGAAGAGGUUUACCAUCUGAGCAUUUUACCAAAAUGCCUAAAGGGGACAGAAGUCUCCUGUUUAUUUACUUUGUAUUUGAAAUAUUUCUCCAUUGUUCUGUGUUUGUGCCCUCAAGAACUAAUCACCAUCUCUGCAGGAGAUCCCCAAAAGUCCACCCUUCCAUCCUCACACCCCUACCCUGGGCAAGGCUGGAGCUCUCACAGAAGUGCCCAUGGGUGUAUUUUUGGUUUUCCUCUUAACUGCAAGGAAGACAAACCCUCCAGCACUGCUGUGAUAUGUGCUGGUGGGAGUGGGAAAGGACAGCACAGCAGCGAGCCCUCUGUGCUCCCAGGAAGGCACGGGAGGGCCUGUCCUGCCACACGCUGCCCUUUUCACCCAGGGCACCCUGACAGACAGCACCUGGCACUGAAACCAAAGAUCAGCUCCAAGAAGUGCCUAAGAAAGGGCUCUGACUAGGGCAGAAUUUCCACUUCUCUGCACAACUGCACUUGUCUUUGCUGAGUUGAAAACACUCACUGCCAAGUGAUGAAAUGAGGCCUUGGAGGCUCCAUCACUCAUUAUCACAUUUCAGCCUGAGUGGUCUCCAAACCACAACUUUUCCCAAGGGUUUGAAAUAUUAUUUUAUUUAUUUUUUAAUUGUAGCUGGUUAAAUAUUGGGCCCUUAUCUAAAUCAGAUGUCUUUAGGUACAGAAUUAUUGUUUUCGGUUAUUGCCUUUUACUCUCUACAGCCAUUAUAUGGAAAGUAAGACUGAAAACUGCUGGAGGAAAGUUCAGGUCAUUGUUAUUUGGGGGGG